UUUUGUAAACUUCCAGCUUUAAUUUUUUAAAUUCCAAUUUAUAUAAGAUUAUUCCCCUCCCCCAACAGCAUGAUUUUUUUUUAACCAAGAAUGACCUUAAUAAGUAUAAAUAUAAUUUUAGUAUGAAAAAUAAAAAGCACAAGGCAUUGAAAGCCUAAGGUUUGAGUUAAAUCCAGAACCAAAAUAUGCUAAUAAUUGCGCUUGGAGACACUUAAAAGAAGUGGAGACCUAAUUAUUAGCCUAAAAAUCCAUCAUCAGUAUUAUAUGAAUCAUGAGAUGAAAACACACUUACCUAGCAUGUUUUGGUUCAUGCAACUGGUCUGUUGGGUUAUUGUCUGCCCACAAACACUUAUCUUGUGCUUUUGGAAAUCUGUUUUUUCCUAUUUCUGUUGUUUGUCCUAUUUCUGUUUUCUUUCUCCUAUUGCCGCUGUGUUUUGUUUGCUUUUGCAGCCUUUUUCUUAUUGCUGGUGUUUUCUUAAGUUGCAGUCCAUUUGGCCUCUCAGGGCUGCCAUAGAUUGGGGACCUUUUGUGAGCCAUAGAGAAGUGGCGGCUCUAACAGAAGUUCAGAGUUUGUUUGGUUUUUUCUUUCUUUUUGGGGGGGGGGGGGGUGCAUUCGUUUUGUAAAUUUUUUUUCGGUUGUUUGUUGUUUGCUUGUUUUUUAAAAUAAAAUGUUCUUAAACAAAGUGAGGUAGAUUGUUGCUCUUAACUGUACACAAUGGAUUUGAAAUGUAACUUUCCUUGUAGGAUAGGUUUUAAAUAGUUUGGAAUAAGUCCACAGAGUAGUUUGGUGUAGCCUGGCACUUCAUUGUGAACACAAUAGAGUGGACAUUAAUGUUAUAAAGUCUCAUUGUCUCUGUCAGUUGUGCUGAUGUGGUCUCGUUCCAAGUCCAUGCUCGUGAUGAGUACAGAUGGACAUAGCUUGUUCUCUCCAGACAGGGGGAAUCAUAGCUCACAGUUAGGCCCCCAAUACACUACAGUCACACCUCAUUGACCAUUAUUACAGCAAAGGAAACCAAAUCAUUGUGAGGGGUGGGGGCAAGGGGUGGCAGUAGAGG
ensembl:lncRNA